rnacentral:rRNA from 1 species
GAUGAACGCUGGCGGCGUGCUUAACACAUGCAAGUCGAGCGGAAAGGCCCAAGCUUGCUUGGGUACUCGAGUGGCGAACGGGUGAGUAACACGUGGGUGAUCUGCCCUGCACUUCGGGAUAAGCCUGGGAAACUGGGUCUAAUACUGGAUAGGACCACUUCUUGGAUGUUGUGGUGGAAAGUUUUUUCGGUGUGGGAUGAGCUCGCGGCCUAUCAGCUUGUUGGUGGGGUAAUGGCCUACCAAGGCGUCGACGGGUAGCCGGCCUGAGAGGGUGUACGGCCACAUUGGGACUGAGAUACGGCCCAGACUCCUACGGGAGGCAGCAGUGGGGAAUAUUGCACAAUGGGCGCAAGCCUGAUGCAGCGACGCCGCGUGGGGGAUGACGGCCUUCGGGUUGUAAACUCCUUUCGCUAGGGACGAAGCGUUUUGUGACGGUACCUGGAGAAGAAGCACCGGCUAACUACGCG